GGACAAUGUGUGUGAAACAAUACCUCAACUCACUAUUUCGCUUAGGAUAACAAAAUGCAAAACUGAUUUUCCGUCUAGGAGUUCUGCAAGGAUGUGUCUUCUGGAAAUUCAUUUAUAAGCAUCUUGCAGUGUAUAUUUUGCGUAAUUGUUAUUGCGCUUCCCUUUUUUGUUUGCUAAAUAGCUGAUGUAAAUGCAUGCCGCCUGAAAGUUCACCUCUCAUAGCAGUAUUUUAUAUGGAUUAAAGCCAUCCAAAAAGAAGGGUUCUCUAUUUGCUGAUAUUCUUUUGACUUGAAUAAACCAAACAUGAGUGU
rnacentral:misc_RNA from 1 species